rnacentral:rRNA from 1 species
UAGGGAAUCUUCGGCAAUGGACGAAAGUCUGACCGAGCAACGCCGCGUGAGUGAAGAAGGUUUUCGGAUCGUAAAACUCUGUUGUUAGAGAAGAACAAGGACGUUAGUAACUGAACGUCCCCUGACGGUAUCUAACCAGAAAGCCACGGCUAACUACGUGCCAGCAGCCGCGGUAAUACGUAGGUGGCAAGCGUUGUCCGGAUUUAUUGGGCGUAAAGCGAGCGCAGGCGGUUUCUUAAGUCUGAUGUGAAAGCCCCCGGCUCAACCGGGGAGGGUCAUUGGAAACUGGGAGACUUGAGUGUAGAAGAGGAGAGUGGAAUUCCAUGUGUAGCGGUGAAAUGCGUAGAUAUAUGGAGGAACACCAGUGGCGAAGGCGGCUCUCUGGUCUGUAACUGACGCUGAGGCUCGAAAGCGUGGGGAGCAAACAGG